AUGAUAUCUGUUAUCUGGGCAGUAUGGUGGGCAGGUGUCUAUGUAGUCCUGGUCUCUGAGGGACAGUUAUUGAUUUUCACCAAAGAGAACAGCGGUUUGCACAGAUUCAAGUCACAAACUCAAAGGCCUGAACAGUUUCAGAGCAGAAGGGUCUGCAAGCUGUUUUCAGGGCUACGACCUGACAGUCCUGAAAGUCACAUAAGCAGAAGGUAUGCAUUUACUAAUAAGGGUAGGAAUUACAAAUCAUUUCCCUUCAUUUAACCUACUUGUAG
rnacentral:lncRNA from 1 species